GGUGAUUCAUUGUUUUGAAACAAACACACACACAGUGUGUGUGUUAUCUGUGGUGUGUGCAUCGGUGUGACAAAUAUAAGAUCAACCAGUCAAAAGCAAGUUCUAAUUCCACUUCUCCGUUGCUGCUGUCUGCGGUUGGCGCGUGGCAUGUGUUGUGGUGUGGCCCUACGUGGGUGAUACGUUUCCUUAGUGGCGUGUGUUCUGUAUUCGUUGUGGAAGUUGUUACAGCCCAUUUAGUGCUGCUUACUGCUUCCGUGUGUGUUGUCGUUUCUAUUGGUGGUUGGUUAGAGUUUGCAAAGCCAAAGAGUUUGGAUUCCACAACAAAACUCAACGGGGCACGCAUAGAAACACCUUCACCAACAAUCCCAACCCGAAAAGGGGCACUGGCAUCACAGGAGGCUUUUGCUGUGCGGACGGGUGCGUAUCUCGAGUAUGUGAAACGGAAAAGUAGGCGCUGCCUGCGAAGUUGCCAUUUGAUCUGUGAAUGUGACGUGUGUGCGACCAGGCUUGCGGAAGCUGCGAGUGUGGCAAAGUGGACACAAAAAACAAGGAAAUUAUCUCACUUGAAGCAGGGCGGUGCCCUACAUAUUGCCCUACGCAUUUGAUCCCUGGGUUUGCGGUCGUUAUUUGUUUUUGCCGUUCAUCUCUCUUCGAUUAUAAAUACGUUUCCGUUGUAAUUCCCGCGUUUAAUUGCCUCCGAUUAGUGUGACAAAAGUGUGAUUAAGUGAGUAAAGCGAUAAAAACAAAUCCCGCGCCUGUAUCGUGUGUGUGUGUGUGUGUGUGUGAGUGUAGUAAGAAACAAAGAGAGCGUGCUGUGGGAGGAGGGCUAAUUCACCCGGUUUUGCUCGUGGCCCCGAUCGAAUGUGUCUUUAUCGCUCUUUAAUAGUGUGUUGAAUGUGAAGAAGAGAAGCUACACAAGCUGUUUUUCUUCGCGUGAGCUUAAUUAAAUACCAUCUACCGUCGGGGCACAAGGCCACAGAGAGAAAGAGAGCAUUAAAGAAAGAAGGGCUUAGAAAGGGGGAAAAAACCCCAUCUUCAUCGGAAGCGCGCGCGCGCUCACGCUUCCCUUUUUGUGCUGUGAAGAAGAAAGCAGCGGAAGCAGCGACCGUCCCAGUGGACACAAGCUUUCGUCAUUUUCAAUCAUUCCCCCCCUCCCGUCCACCCCGUUCGCGAAAGGUUCAAUCGAUCCUGAAACUGCAACUACUGCUACAACACAGCACUUCAACACCGGUGACGGGGGCGCAGACGAGGAAAACAGUCCCGUCUACGCUCGGCAAAUCGGAUCAGCGAAAUUGGAAUGUCAUUGAAG